rnacentral:rRNA from 1 species
UACGUAGGGUGCAAGCGUUAAUCGGAAUUACUGGGCGUAAAGCGUGCGCAGGCGGUUUUGUAAGUCUGUCGUGAAAUCCCCGGGCUCAACCUGGGAAUUGCGAUGGAGACUGCAAGGCUAGAAUCUGGCAGAGGGGGGUAGAAUUCCACGUGUAGCAGUGAAAUGCGUAGAUAUCUGGAGGAACACCGGUGGCGAAGGCGGCAUCCUGGACCGGCAUUGACGCUGAGGCGCGAAAGCCAGGGGAGCAAACGGG